GCAAACUUGGUCAUUUAGAGGAAGUAAAAGUCGUAACAAGGUUUCCGUAGGUGAACCUGCGGAAGGAUCAUUACUGAAGAAUUGACCGCGAGGUCACUCUUCCACCCUCUGUUUACCACCCCUUUGUUGCUUUGGCGGGCCGCCCUAGGCCACCGGCCCCGGCUGGUGUGCGCCCGCCAGAGACCCCAAAACCAAACCUGUUAUAAUGUGAAAUCGUCUGAAUACAAACCCCAAUUAUUAAAACCUUCAACAAUGGAUCUCUUGGCUCUGGCAUCGAUGAAGAACGCAGC
rnacentral:misc_RNA from 1 species